UCAUGCUAUCCCACAGGUAACCACUGCAUGGCUGACUGAUAUACUGCUCUCAUGCUAUCCCACAGGUAACCACUGCAUGGCUGACUGAUAUACUGCUCUCAUGCUAUCCCACAGGUAACCACUGCAUGGCUGACUGAUAUACUGCUCUCAUGCUAUCCCACAGGUAACCACUGCAUGGCUGACUGAUAUACUGCUCUCAUGCUAUCCCACAGGUAACCACUGCAUGGCUGACUGAUAUACUGCUCUCAUGCUAUCCCACAGGUAACCACUGCAUGGCUGACUGAUAUACUGCUCUCAUGCUAUCCCACAGGUAACCACUGCAUGGCUGACUGAUAUACUGCUCUCAUGCUAUCCCACAGGUAACCACUGCAUGGCUGACUGAUAUACUGCUCUCAUGCUAUCCCACAGGUAACCACUGCGUGGCUGACUGAUAUACUGCUCUCAUGCUAUCCCACAGGUAACCACUGCGUGGCUGACUGAUAUACUGCUCUCAUGCUAUCCCACAGGUAACCACUGCAUGGCUGACUGAUAUACUGCUCUCAUGCUAUCCCACAGGUAACCACUGCAUGGCUGACUGAUAUACUGCUCUCAUGCUAUCCCACAGGUAACCACUGCAUGGCUGACUGAUAUACUGCUCUCAUGCUAUCCCACAGGUAACCACUGCAUGGCUGACUGAUAUACUGCUCUCAUGCUAUCCCACAGGUAACCACUGCAUGGCUGACUGAUAUACUGCUCUCAUGCUAUCCCACAGGUAACCACUGCGUGGCUGACUGAUAUACUGCUCUCAUGCUAUCCCACAGGUAACCACUGCAUGGCUGAGGCUGAUCUGAUA